GAAAGCUCAGUCUGUAGAGCAUGAGACUCUUAAUCUCAGGACUGUGGAUUCAAGCCCCAUGUUGGACA